AAUCCUUGCGCUUGUAAAUCGUACGGGGCUGGGAGAUGGGAGAUGGGAGCUGGGCCUGGAGCUUGCCUGGCGGGCGGAUGGGUGUGGGUGGAGGCACGUUGGGGAUCCUGGUGCAGAGUGGGCCAGCUGUGGCCUCGGGGCUCGCCACCGUGGAGGACUCCGCCUGGGCCUAGGCCCCCAUCUCUAGGAAAUGCCUCCUUCCUGCGUGCGCGCGUUGUGAGAUUACUAGUAAGAGCCGCGCUUGUGAAGACGCAGUGCCCAGUUAGUUUGCGCCAGCUUCUGAGUUCAGCUCAGAACACAGAUGAUCUCAUUGAUUCCUCACGUCAACCUUGGGAAAUCUGGGUACCCUGGGACGUCCACACAUGAGGACCGAGGCUCAGGGACAUCAAGGGACUGGCCUGGUCCCAGAAACAGGGAGUAAAAUGGGAAGUAAACUCAGUCCCACGUCUGCCUGACUCCAGAGUUUGGGCCACUGAACCAUGCGGCUGCCAUCUUGGAGUUCUUUGAGCUGUGAAGUGCUGUGCAUCGUGUGAUUCUGUGUCCCUUUUGUGCAGGUACCAGGAUUUCUAUGCAUUCGACCUGUCAGGAGCCACUCGAGUCCUUGAAUGGAUUGAUGACAAAGGAGUCUUUGUUGCUGGCUAUGAAAGCCUGAAAAAGAAUGAAAUUCUUCAUCUGAAAUUACCUCUCAGACUUUCUGUAAAGGAAAACAAGGGCUUAUUCCCAGAAAGAGAUUUCAAAGUGCGCCAUGGAGGAUUUUCAGACAGGUCUAUCUUUGAUCUAAAGCAUGUGCCACAUACCAGAUUGCUGGUUACCAGUGGCCUUCCAGGUUGUUAUCUGCAGGUGUGGCAGGUUGCAGAGGACAGUGAUGUCAUUAAAGCUGUCAGCACCAUUGCUGUGCAUGAGAAAGAGGAGAGUCUCUGGCCUAGGGUGGCCGUCUUCUCCACAUUGGCACCCGGAGUCCUCCAUGGGGCGAGGCUCCGCAGUCUGCAGGUCAUUGAUCUGGAGUCCCGGAAGACCACGUACACCUCAGAUGUCAGUGACAGUGAGGAGCUGAGUAGCCUGCAGGUCCUAGAUGCAGACACCUUUGCCUUCUGCUGUGCUUCGGGCCGGCUGGGGCUUGUUGACACCCGCCAGAAGUGGGCACCAUUGGAGAAUCGCAGCCCUGGCCCUGGGUCUGGUGGAGAGAGAUGGUGUGCUGAAGUUGGGAGCUGGGGCCAGGGCCCUGGGCCCAGCAUUGCCAGCCUUGGCUCAGAUGGGCGUCUUUGUCUUCUUGACCCCCGGGAUCUCUGCCAUCCUGUGAGCUCAGUCCAGUGCCCAGUAUCCGUACCGAGCCCUGACCCAGAGCUGCUGCGAGUGACUUGGGCCCCAGGCCUGAAGAAUUGCUUGGCCAUCUCAGGUUUUGAUGGUACAGUCCAGGUCUAUGAUGCCACAUCUUGGGAUGGAACACGGAGCCAAGAUGGAACACGGAGCCAAGUAGAACCUCUCUUCACUCACAGAGGUCACAUCUUCCUAGAUGGAAAUGGGAUGGACCCUGCUCCUUUGGUCACCACCCACACCUGGCAUCCCUGCAGACCAAGGACUUUGUUAUCAGCAACAAAUGAUGCCUCUCUGCAUGUGUGGGACUGGGUGGACCUUUGUGCCCCCCGCUGACACCAGCAUCUUUCCAUCUAGGCCUCUAGAAAGGGGAGGAGCUGCUGUAGUAGCAAGGGUGCUGAUGUAGGACUCAAGUGACUACCAGUCCCUGUUACCAGCUGUGUGGCCUUGGGCAAGUCUACCAGCGUCACUUAGCCUCAGUUUCCUUAUCUGUAAAAUGAGGAUAGUAAGAACUACCUCGUAGUGAUAUUGCGAAGGUUAGAAGAAACGCAUGGCAUAAUUACUUGGUAGCUAUUGUUAGAUCUGGGAGUGUGAAAUGGUAGCGUUUUGUCCCUGUCUUCACACUAUCAUAGGGAGAAUCAAAAGAGCUAACAAAUAUAAACAUGCUUUGUGAAUUUUUUUAAAGAAAAAAAUGUGGAGGGGCCAAUAAACAUGAAAAAAAUCCC
rnacentral:sRNA from 1 species